UAAAUUAGUUCUAAACACAAAUAAUAUCACGACCUUUUACCUAUCACUCUGAAAGUCGCUUUUAUAAAAAAAUGGUAAAUAAAGAAACUUAGAAAAAAAUUGGUUGUUAACAAAAAUAUGGUUGUUAUAUAUAUAUAGCAAAUAUCGGUUGGUGUCAAGUGCAUGUUCCUAUGAUGGUGAUUGGUAGAAAAUCGGUAUGGCAGAAAGAUUUAUGUUCUUUUAUUCAAGAAGGGAUUGGGAGUGACGUUGGUAAUGUGAUUGAGUUUUUGACUUGGAUGCAUCGUCAGAGUGGUCGUUAUUCAAUCAAAGAGACAUACGAUUUAUUAAGGUUGCCAACCAAGGACAACCUUCUUUGAUACAUAGUUCAUUUAGCAGAUAAUUAAUUUCGUGUAAGUUUAUCCGAUAUAUUUAAAUCGAGUCAACAUUUUUUCUUCAAAUGUCAUAUUUCGGACAAUUUUAGACAAUAAUUUUCAUUAGAUUAUUAACAAUGAAGUUUUAGUGAAAUUUAUCAUUAAUUAUGUUUUUUAGUUUGUAGAUUCGGUCGAUGGUGGUAGAGUGAUGAAUGAAAAAUAUAUUUUUAUUUAA